rnacentral:rRNA from 1 species
UACGUAGGGGGCUAGCGUUGUCCGGAAUUAUUGGGCGUAAAGAGCUCGUAGGCGGUUUGUCGCGUCUGCCGUGAAAACCCGAGGCUUAACCUCGUGGCUUGCGGUGGAUACGGGCAGACUAGAGGUAGGUAGGGGAGAAUGGAAUUCCCGGUGUAGCGGUGAAAUGCGCAGAUAUCGGGAGGAACACCGGUGGCGAAGGCGGUUCUCUGGGCCUUACGUGACGCUGAGGAGCGAAAGCGUGGGGAGCGAACAGG